AGCCUGGAAUAAUUACCCUUUUCGGUGGGAAUUAUUGAAGGCUUAAGACUUGGUCUCUUGACGCAAACUAAUAGGGCAUAGGUCUAGAGCCAAAAUUUUGUUCUAGGCUUGUGCUUUUCUUCUUAUGUCUGAGCUGUUAUAAUCAUUGUAGACCAUAAUUUCUACAAGUGGCGGGACCUAGAAGCCAAGUAUCUCUAGUCAUAUCAGGGUGCCACUCAUUGGAGGUGGGUUUGAGUCUUCAGUCAAGUAAACCAUGCUAGCUUCUUCAUUUCCUAGCCACUGCUGUAUGGACUGGACAAUUCCAUCAGAUGCAGGUAUGUAAAGCAAUAAUUUGGAUGGAUUUGGAAUUGAAUGCUACAGAUAUUCAAUUCAUUUGCAUGGAGGGAGAUUGGUGGUUUAGUUAUGAGCAUAUAUUGGUUAAGAGUAGAAACAAAGUUGGUUGGGUUGUCACCAAUGAAACCCAUCCAAUCCCUUCAAUUUUGUCAAAUGUGAAUACAAGCUACCCCAUUGUAACACCUGCCUCUUAGCAUUGACUAAGCAUCCUAGAAUGGAGAAUACAAAAUGAGUUUCUUUUCCUUUCACUUGAAUUUAUGAGAAAUUCAAUAUACGUUUGUUAAAGGAAUUUCACUAAAUUUGCCUAAUUUUAAGUGGCUUACACUACAAAGUCAUGUACGUGAAAAACUUUUAUCUACCCAUUGUUUACCAUUUAGAUUUGAUGACCCUUAUGGCUUCAUUUCCAAAAUGUAUUAACUUGAACUAGAAAUAAUUGAAAUUGGUUUAUAAGAAAUGACUCAAACAAAUAACUUGGAGUGAUUUUAAAAACUCGAAUAAUAAACUCUAAUCUAAAAUAAUACAAAAAUUUUAAAAUCUGAGUUGAUCUGCGAGUAUGGUUUCAUUGAAUUUUUCAUUAGCAAAAGAACGUGUCCCCCUUAUCUUUGUAUGGUGAAGAUAACAUGGAAAUAGAAAUCUCACUCAUUAUUAAUACAAUAAUAUUAGUAUUAAUGAAAGGAGAGCAUCAUUUGGAGAAACAUACACCUACAUAUAAAAUAAUCAUACUCAACAACAACAACAAUCAUAGGUGAGGCCAUUAGCGGAUCCUGAUUCCGAUUUGCGGGAGCCACUAAUCGACAAGCGAUCAAACAAUCCCUCUUAGAUCCUUCUUGGUUGUUGGCCAUGCCCAUCUUCCCAUUUCAACCACUCCACACCCAAUAUUUCUGCCCUUUUAGCAUCUUUUUUGUUUCGUUUUCGGUGUUCAAUAGUCACGUUAGAUUCCGGUUAAAUUAUUUCUUUAGAU